UAAGGAAUAUUGGUCAAUGGGCGCAAGCCUGAACCAGCCAUGCCGCGUGCAGGAAGACGGCCCUAUGGGUUGUAAACUGCUUUUAUACGGGAAUAAACCUCGGUACGUGUACCGAGCUGAAUGUACCGUAAGAAUAAGGAUCGGCUAACUCCGUGCCAGCAGCCGCGGUAAUACGGAGGAUCCAAGCGUUAUCCGGAUUUAUUGGGUUUAAAGGGUGCGUAGGCGGCUUUUUAAGUCAGGGGUGAAAGACGGUGGCUCAACCAUCGCAGUGCCCUUGAUACUGAAGAGCUUGAAUACACUAGAGGUAGGCGGAAUGAGACAAGUAGCGGUGAAAUGCAUAGAUAUGUCUCAGAACACCAAUUGCGAAGGCAGCUUACUAUGGUGUUAUUGACGCUGAGGCACGAAAGCGUGGGGAUCAAACAGG
rnacentral:rRNA from 1 species